UCAGCUUGUCACUCUUUGAGAUGUUUGAAUUGGGUUGAGGUAGUGGAGAGCUAUUCAGAAUUAUGGGCAAGUCUUGUUGGUUAUUAUGUUAUUGUUGUAUAAGCAUAUUUUGUAUCUAAUGAAAUGUUGUCGAUGAAUCGAAAUGGAUAUACCUUGUAAAAGUGUUAGACGAUCUCUCUUAUUUGGAAUUUCGGAAUGUUAAGUCUAAUUUAUGAUGAUAUGAACUUGUGGUGAAUAGUUAGAGUUCUGAUUGUAUAAUUUAUUUAGCUUGUGGAUUUAUAAAUGUUGUUCAUGUUUGUCAAGUUGGCUUGGGUUGCCAUAA
rnacentral:lncRNA from 1 species